rnacentral:rRNA from 1 species
AUUGAACGCUGGCGGCAUGCUUUACACAUGCAAGUCGAACGGCAGCGGGGUAGUGCUUGCACUACUGUCCGGCGAGUGGCGAACGGGUGAGUAAUAUAUCGGAACGUACCGAGUAAUGGGGGAUAACCAAUCGAAAGAUUGGCUAAUACCGCAUACGUCCUACGGGAGAAAGCGGGGGAUCGCAAGACCUCGCGUUAUUCGAGCGGCCGAUAACUGAUUAGCUAGUUGGUGGGGUAAAGGCCUACCAAGGCGACGAUCAGUAGCGGGUCUGAGAGGACGAUCCGCCACACUGGGACUGAGACACGGCCCAGACUCCUACGGGAGGCAGCAGUGGGGAAUUUUGGACAAUGGGGGCAACCCUGAUCCAGCCAUGCCGCGUGUAUGAAGAAGGCCUUCGGGUUGUAAAGUACUUUUGUUAGGGAAGAAAAGGGAAGUGCUAAUACCACUUUUUGCUGACGGUACCUAAAGAAUAAGCACCGGCUAACUACGUGCCAGCAGCCGCGGUAAUACGUAGGGUGCGAGCGUUAAUCGGAAUUACUGGGCGUAAAGCGAGCGCAGACGGUUAUUUAAGCAGGAUGUGAAAUCCCCGGGCUUAACCUGGGAACUGCGUUCUGAACUGGAUAGCUAGAGUGUGUCAGAGGGGGGUAGAAUUCCACGUGUAGCAGUGAAAUGCGUAGAGAUGUGGAGGAAUACCGAUGGCGAAGGCAGCCCCCUGGGAUAACACUGACGUUCAUGCUCGAAAGCGUGGGCAGCAAACAGG